UACGUAGGGGGCAAGCGUUGUCCGGAAUUAUUGGGCGUAAAGGGCUCGUAGGCGGUUUGUCGCGUCGGGAGUGAAAUCCACUGGCUUAACUGGUGGCUUGCUUUCGAUACGGGCAGACUGGAGGUAUGCAGGGGAGAACGGAAUUCCUGGUGUAGCGGUGAAAUGCGCAGAUAUCAGGAGGAACACCGGUGGCGAAGGCGGUUCUCUGGGCAUGUCCUGACGCUGAGGUGCGAAAGCGUGGGGAGCAAACAGG
rnacentral:rRNA from 1 species